AACGAACGCUGGCGGCAGGCUUAACACAUGCAAGUCGAACGGAGCCUUCGGGCUUAGUGGCGCACGGGUGAGGAACACGUGGGAAUGUACCCCUUGGUAAGGAAUAAUAUCUGGAAACGGAUACUAAUACCUUAUAAUGACUUCGGUCCAAAGAUUUAUCGCCAAGGGAUCAGCCCGCGUAUGAUUAGUUUGUUGGUGAGGUAAUGGCUCACCAAGACUACGAUCAUUAGCUGGUCUGAGAGGACGAUCAGCCACACUGGUACUGAGACACGGACCAG
rnacentral:rRNA from 1 species